UGGGGAAUAUUGCACAAUGGGGGAAAGCCCUGAUGCAGCGACGCCGCGUGAAGGAAGAAGUAUCUCGGUAUGUAAACUUCUAUCAGCAGGGAAGAAAAUGACGGUACCUGACUAAGAAGCCCCGGCUAACUACGUGCCAGCAGCCGCGGUAAUACGUAUGGAGCAAGCGUUAUCCGGAUUUACUGGGUGUAAAGGGAGCGUAGGCGGUACGGCAAGUCAGAAGUGAAAUGCCGGGGCUCAACCCCGACUGCUUUUGAAACUGUCGAACUGGAUUGCAGGAGAGGUAAGUGGAAUUCCUAGUGUAGCGGUGAAAUGCGUAGAUAUUAGGAGGAACACCAGUGGCGAAGGCGGCUUACUGGACUGUAAAUGACGCUGAGGCUCGAAAGCGUGGGGAGCAAACAGGAUUAGAUACC
rnacentral:rRNA from 1 species